rnacentral:lncRNA from 1 species
ACCUCUUUCGGGGGUUUCUACCUUCUUGGAAGACAUGAAGCCUUGCGUUGUCUCUCUGUUUGUAAUUGCUGCAAUAUCGCUCCAAAUUAUUCUGGUUGCACCACUCGUUUGUGGGAGGACUCUCCAAGACUUUGAUGAUCAGAAGGCGUACUACCACAACUCCCCACCGAAAACCUCCCACUCCGGUUCCCAUUCCAGCCGUAAGAUUAUUUUAUUUAUUUAAUUCACUGCUUACUUGCUUGCUUAAUGUUGUUUGUCGAACUAAAUAUGUACAUACGUACCUGUGGCUGUGCAGAUAGCAAAGGUUCCAGUUUUCCGUCGCCGCCACAUCAAGGAGGAUGUGCCAAAACACCCUCGCAUAGCUCCAGCUCCAGCACUCCUAAACCGCGCGAUGGAAGCUACGGCACGCCUACCACGCCAUCGCAUGGAAGUCGCAGUGCAACCACACCAGCCACAACACCGCCCACGUCUUCUCAUGCAACAACACCGACCACGCCUUCUCAUUCAACUACACCAUCCACGCCUUCACAUACAACCACACCGGCCACACCUUCCAUCCCCGGUUUCCCAUCGAUCACUGCAACCUGCGAGUAUGCAAUGCACGCACAUCAAACGAAUAUUAAUUCGUAUAUAUAUAUAUAUAUAUAUAAGAAGGACACUAUUUGUUUUUUUAGUGUACGUACACUGCUCAUUAAUCUAUUUACUCUCUCCACUUGUAGCUUCUGGAGAACCCACCCGUCUAUGAUAUUUGGCAUACUCGGACAAUGGUCGAACAUCGGUAACUUGUUUGGAUUUCCGGCGACGAGUAUUUUUGGACGAAAUCCCAGCGUAC